GCGGACGUGGUGCACGGUGCACUGCUUUCUUUCAUGAAGCGACACACAAGAGUUGAAGGCUGUCGGGGUUCGACUCCCUGUGUUCGCA